ensembl:lncRNA
UCGGCCUGUGUCAAUCGAGGUUGAGUUUAGUGAGGGUUGAAAGUUUUCGAUCUAGAUUGCAGAUCACUAUUGUCACUUUAUACAAACUGAAAGUAUGCGUUGUUGCGUGUUUGUUUUUGUGGGCAUUUGACUGAACAGCCCAGACAAAUAUUGCUACCAACAUGGCACUUGAAACAGACCACCGCAGUGUUAGAUGACUGACAAGAUCUAUGGGGGGGCCCCCUUUGGGCCCCCCCAUACCAACUUAGUCUUCAAAGGAAUCUAGUGCCAUGGGACUCCAGUGUCUUCAAAACAUCCUCGGAAUACAUGUGUAUGAAUGGUCCACCGAAGGGUUGAUCUGGAAGCCACCACGGUCAACGCAGUAAUGUGCUGCGUGGGCCGUAGUGGCUUCCAGAGCCAUCUUUCGGUCUUGGUCAGGAUUUGUUACAGUUGCCCUUCAAUGUAGCAGGCUACGGGUUUCUGAAGAAGCCUGCUUUACGUAGCAUUGAGUAGCAUUAGUUUAACGUCAUUCGGUGCUGUCUGUCAAAUGUGUGGCUUACUUUAAGUCCACAAGGCCCUCUGGUAAACCACGUUGGAACACCCCUGGACAAGGUGAUUAGUCACUGGGUGUGUGCUAAAGUUUUGUUCCAUUUUUCACUAGUUGGGUAAGGUUUGGUAGAAUUGUUUGGAUGCUAGCGACGUGAUGGUGUAUGUACAAGAGCCUACCGUGGCCAGGCCACAGUUACGACGCCACGGCCAGAUGGCCUAGUGUGAGUGCAACCUUGAUUGCAUUUGUAUACUGUUUACCAUUGGAUAUUUAUGCAAUUUGGCUUAAUUCAUCCGCUGUAAAGCUGCAUUUGACUGUUCCAGGGUCGUUUUGUACAGGCUUUCAAUUGACCAUGUUGACCAGUUUGUGGGAAGUUUUUUUUUUUUUUUUUUUUUUUACCCUUGCUUACAAUCCAACGGUUGCGACCACUUAUGCAACUGGGCUGUGAACCUUGCAAUUCUAGUUGCAUAUUUGUACAUGCAAGCUUGUCCAUUUCUAUCGCCAUCACUUACACUAGCUUCAGCAUUUCCUUGUAGGCCAUUAGCUGACUUGUGUAUUGAAGCGUUGAUUUGGGUAUUUUAAGAUGCUUGAAAACCUAAAAUAAAGCAAAAUGCGUGUGUGGUGUGGAAGAGCCAAUUUGUUGGCUUGCAGUAGUCGAGGAGUUGCCGUAGGUCGUAAGCCAUCUGGAGGUUGUGGCAAUGGAGGCUUGUGGUAGAUCUGCCAUCCAAGAAAGGUUAAUUCUUCUGAAGCAUGAUUAAUAGUUUAGUAAAUUGAAUCUAUUUAUAUAGAACUAUAAAAUCCAAGACUGCAGCCAGUAACUUGGAUCGCAAAAUGUGGAAGGUAUUAGUCUUCAUUUGUAACAACAGAAUAAUUAACAUGACUAACUGGGUUUCUUCCAUUUUCUAACUAGGGGGACUUGACUGGUGAGUCUACUGGAUUAAUCAGUAGCGGUACUUUGCCCAACAGAUUUGAUGGCAUGACUACAGGGUGACAAAGACAAUUAUUCCCUGCCUAUCAAAAGCGACUUCUAAAACAUAUCUGCUAGAACAGUUCCUAUACUUUUUGUAUAAUUUGGUCAUGCUGCAAAUUUACUUUUUGUAGUUGCUCCAUAUUUUGUAGUUGCUCCACAGCCUCACCUGCUAGAAAAGUCUAUUCAAAUCGGCUAAAUAUAAUGAACUAAAUUAAUAGCCAUGAAAUGUUGUCACUCAUACUAAUGGCAAAUACCCCCUUUCAGUUGGUGGUUCAACACUGAUGUCUCUCUAGGCUUGAGGGAGAGCUCACAAGUAAAUUACACGAAUGUCCUGGAGCAAUUGGGAAUACACUUUUAUUUAGUCUACCUGACCAGGGACAUCUUUGAACUAUAGGUCACCUAACCCAAACUUUUCACUCUUGUUAGGUUGUCCUUUUCUCUGUUUUAACCCGAAAGGGCUGAAAAUAUCAACAUUUCAGGUAUUCUGUUUGGAUAAUGUGCAAAACUUGUGGCUUCACUAAUAAAAAAAAUUAACGAAUGUAUUUUUCUUAAUGUGGUUAAACUAUUCAAAGAUUUGAAUGCAAAAUAUUUCUGCUAAAUUUGUGGUCAAUGAAACUCAAAUUUUUUAAUUUGAUAAAACACAACUAUGGGUUAAAGGUAUUUGCUAUGGGCAUCUUUUGAUAUUUUUAGAAUCUAGCUCCAUUCCCGUUAAAAAUGGUGUCUCCCAGUACUGCAAAGUGCUUCCACAAGUUUAAAAAAUGGGCAGAAAAGGAACUGCCAACUAAAUCUAUUUAACAUGGGUAGAAAGUUUCCAUGGAAGCUCUUGGCUGCUGGUUCCCAACACAGCUCCACUGUUGGCCUGUGACCUUGCGUUUAACUUUUUUGGACUUUUGGUGACUGCAACAGUGCCACACGAUCAUAUUUGAAUAUGUUUCGGGGUAAUUGGCUGUCGAUUUUGGAGGC